CCUACGGGGGUCUGCCGUUUUUACUAUUUCUCCCUUUUCUCCCCCCUGCUGCCGCCCCGCCGCGUGUGGGAAGAAGGUUUUCGGAUUGUAAACCACUGUUCUUGGUGAAGAUAAUGACGGUAACUAAGGAGAAAGCUCCGGCUAACUACGUGCCAGCAGCCGCGGUAAUACGUAGGGAGCAAGCGUUGUCCGGAUUUACUGGGUGUAAAGGGUGCGUAGGCGGUCUUGCAAGUCAGACGUGAAAACCACAGGCUCAACCUGUGGACUGCGUUUGAAACUGUGGGGCUUGAGUGAAGUAGAGGUAGGCGGAAUUCCCGGUGUAGCGGUGAAAUGCGUAGAGAUCGGGAGGAACACCAGUGGCGAAGGCGGCCUACUGGGCUUUAACUGACGCUGAGGCACGAAAGCAUGGGUAGCAAACAGGAUUAGAUACCCUUGUAGUC
rnacentral:rRNA from 1 species